UACGUAGGGUGCAGGCGUUAAUCGGAAUUACUGGGCGUAAAGCGUGCGCAGGCGGUCUUUUUAAGUCAGAUGUGAAAAUCCCCCGGGCUUAACCUGGGAACUGCGUUUGAAACUGGAAGGCUAGAGUGUGGCAGAGGGGGGGUGGAAUUCCACGUGUAGCAGUGAAAUGCGUAGAGAUGUGGAGGAACACCGAUGGCGAAGGGACAGCCCUUCUGGGC
rnacentral:rRNA from 1 species